rnacentral:rRNA from 1 species
UACGUAGGGGGCAAGCGUUGUCCGGACUUAUUGGGCGUAAAGAGCGUGUAGGCGGCCAGGUAGGUGGGUUGUGAAAACUGGAGGCUCAACCUUCAGACGUCGACCCAAACCCCCUGGCUAGAGUCCGGAAGAGGAGAGUGGAAUUCCUGGUGUAGCGGUGAAAUGCGCAGAUAUCAGGAAGAACACCCGUGGCGAAGGCGGCUCUCUGGGACGGUACUGACGCUGAGACGCGAAAGCGUGGGGAGCGAACAGG